GCGCUGCAUUAAGAGUUGGGAAUUCCAUGCCAACCUGCUGAUUCAGUAAGGUGGACGGUUGAUAAAACCGAUGUGGUUCGGCUUGAUACCGAGCAAUCCAAACCCCGCUU
rnacentral:ncRNA from 2 species